CCUACGGGAGGCAGCAGUGAGGAAUAUUGGUCAAUGGGCGUAAGCCUGAACCAGCCAAGUCGCGUGAGGGAUGAAGGUUCUAUGGAUCGUAAACCUCUGUUAGCAGGGAAGAACGGCCACUGUGCUAAUCAGCAGUGAAUUGACGGUACCUGCAAAGGAAGCACCGGCCAACUCCGUGCCAGCAGCCGCGGUGAUACGGCGGGUGUGAGCGUUAAUCGGAAUUACUGGGCGUAAAGCGCUCGUGGGCGGUAUGUCAAGUCAAGGGUGAAAUGCCCGGGCCCAACGUGGGGACUGCCUUUGAAACUGGCAAACUGGAGUUUGUGAGAGGAUAGUGGAAUUCCAGGUGUAGGAGUGAAAUCCGUAGAUAUCUGGAGGAACAUCAGUGGCGAAGGCGACAAUCUGGCACAUAACUGACGCUGAGGAGCGAAAGCGUGGGUAGCGAACAGGAUUAGAUACCCGAGUAGUC
rnacentral:rRNA from 1 species